rnacentral:rRNA from 1 species
UACGUAGGGUGCGAGCGUUGCCCGGAUUUAUUGGGCGUAAAGGGCGCGCAGGCGGCUCGGCACGUCCGUUGUGAAAUCGCCCGGCUCAACUGGGCGGGGUCAGCGGAUACGGUCGAGCUUGAGCAAGCUAGGGGGUAAUGGAAUUCCCGGUGUAGUGGUGGAAUGCGUAGAUAUCGGGAGGAACACCAGUGGCGAAGGCGGUUACCUGGAGCUUUGCUGACGCUGAGGCGCGAAAGCGUGGGGAGCGAGCCGG